CCCUCCCCUCCUUCCAAAAUCUAGCAGGUCUACAAUGGUUGCUGUGAGAUUCCCCUUCGGCGCCAUGGCCCUGCCGUUGUAGUUCAGCGAAGUUAUUUUUUGCUGUAGAUUUUUGGAUGUGCAUCUACCAUGCGGCUCUAGUGUAGAUGACGUUUUGGUGUGGUCCAUUGAUUUUUUGGUUGCAGGGAGAAGGAGCUCAACCACCGGCCCUUGUGCCAUUCGCCAGGUGAAGCCGCCUCCCAGUUUUGCAGGGUGUGCGCAUGCAGUACGACACAUGCAUCGGAGUAGUCCGCUCGGCUAGCGGGUAUAGUGCUCACAAGCCACAAUAGCUUUUUCUUCUUUAGUUUUUCAAUUGAAGAUGACCAUGCAGUUGAAAAAAUUGAACCAUGGCAGAAUAUGCAGAAUAUUCAGAAAAUGCAGUUUGAAGUAUGUGCACAUGGAGUGCAGUCGGUGUUUUUUUGUCUUUGAUGAUUUUACAUAAAGUAUAAAAGUUGCACGGACUCAUUUGGUUGCAGUUUCACGCGGAACAUGGUGUUGUUCUUACUUUCUAUUGGAAAUAUUCCCUAGAGGCAAUAAUAAUUUGGUUAUUAUUAUAUUUCCUUGUUUAUGAUAAUUUUUC
rnacentral:lncRNA from 1 species